AUCGUUUCCUCGUCAGGCCACAAGCCGAAAGCGAGUAGAAGUAGCCGAUUGAGACUGAAGAACCGCUUCUUAAUACAGACCAUCAUUGACGGUAAAUUAUUUAAUUUAUUUAAAUUGGCAUAAACGUAUCGCAAGAUGGUGCAUAACACUACCAUGCAAUUAUAACAGCUGUUUGAUGACAAUUUACUGUCUCCGCACGAGAAAAGUGCUCAAUACUUAAGAAAUUUAUCUCAAAUGAAAAGAAGAAAAAUUUCAACGUGUGUUUCCUUCCCACGAAAAAUAUUCGAAAAAUGAUGCCGGAGAAGGAAGUACACGCAAGCGCAGUUCCCCUUUCUAACACUCUUCAGUUCUUGGUGCUUCAGUCCGUUGUGUGCAGUCAUGAUGUUCACAUCGUGGGUUGAGCGGAGCAGCGGCUUAUCGAUUUUAUAUAGGUACAUACAUCUAAAGUCUGGAAUUACCAGUAAGGUACAUACAAUCACCAAUCUGUUAUUUGCAAUUAAUGUUGCCUUAUGCUUAGUGAAGGAUUUAAAAUGUAAAUAUAAGUGGGACUCCACAAUAUUUUGUUGUGGUAAUAAAUGUAAAUGGAAACAAUAAAGGUCAUAAAUUAUCAA